ensembl:lncRNA
CGAUAACACAGUGUGAGGAGAGCAAAAUUUAAGCCAUGUUUUUUAUAGAUAACAUUGCUGUCAUCGCUCUUAAACAUCAACUUACAGCUUUUUUAAAAUGUGCCCCAAAGCAAUUGGUCAUGUGACACACGUGAACCAAUGCUAUUUGCCAUCAACGCACAAAACCCUGGGGCCUUAUUUAUCAACAGUCCGUAGAAAAGGUUUUAUAUUUUGUCCUUAUAUUUACACACAUUUCAACAUAUAAGUACAAGUUGGUAGAUCACACAAUUUGCGUGAAAUUGUGCGUAAUCACUCUUUACGCACACAUCUGUGCGUAUGCUCUGUUGAUAAAUGAGGGCCCAGGCUCCAAAGGCACAAUUUUUGAAUUGAACAUCACAGCUAAUUAUUUGACCUCAACGCAAGAGUUGAAAAUGUACACAUUUCAUUGUGUUCCUCCCACAAAAAUUCACAUUGUUUUAGAGGACCAUUCCUUUGGACUACUUUUAUGAUUUUCCCCUCGACAUUUAAAAUCAAUUCACUUUCACUGAAGGCCAUUCUGCCUACUCUCAUGUUUCACAGAAGAAAUAAAAGGAUACAGCCAGGAUCUUGGAAUGGCAUAAGUCAAGGAACUGUGUGUCCCCUCGACAGAGAAGCGAUCUCUAUCCCAGAGCUGCGUGAUCAAAGCGUAUAGAUGGAAAGCUGACAGAUAUAGAGAACUGAGAGUCUUCCUGUGUGUGGAGCCAGAGGCAAGACUGCACUAUCAACACGUCGUCUACUGGCAGAUGGAUGCCACAGGGACAUGAGAAAGCUCAGAUUCAGCAGUUCAAAGCCUAGACACCCUGAAAACUGCAUGAACACUGAUGGGAGGAAUGAUGACAUUAUGCUCCAACUCAACAAAGGCAAGUGGAAUGAGGCAACACACUGAAGCAAUCAAGUAAUGGACAGUGAAAGAAAUUGGUCAACUUAUGAUUUCUAAUUAUGUUCCUUCAAGCUUUGACAUUUCAUAGUGUAUCAGAAAUGAACAGU